CUUGGUCAUUUAGAGGAAGCGGAAGGCGGCACUCUGUUCGUCGAUGAGAUCACACAGAUCUCCUCCACCGCCGCGCGCUUCUUACGCGACAGCCUUGAACGCCGGAAUUACACACGCGCCGACGGUGAAACAAGUCCGUUGAGCACGCGAAUCAUUUGCUCGCUGCAACCCGGCGCGAGUCCGAAUCCGGAAUCGGCGCUAGAGUAUCGCGAGUUUCUCGCUCAUCUGAACGCCGUGACGAUUCAAGUCCCACCGUUACGCGAGUGCGCGGAGGAUGUGCCCGAGCUAUUGCGUCAUCACGCCGAAAGCUUG
rnacentral:misc_RNA from 1 species